rnacentral:rRNA from 1 species
ACUGGGAUUAGAUACCCCACUAUGCCCAACCGUAAACUUUAACUUACACCAAAAUCGCCAGGGGACUACGAGCAAAGCUUAAAACCCAAAGGACUUGACGGUACCCCACAUCCACCUAGAGGAGCCUGUCCUGUAACCGAUAAUCCCCGUUUAACCUCACCACUUUUAGCCUAUCAGCCUGUAUACCUCCGUCGUCAGCUUACCACAUGAGUGUCUCUAGUGAGCUUAAUGUCCCCCCGUCAAAACGUCAGGUCAAGGUGCAGCUUAUAAAGCGGAAAGAGAUGGGCUACACUCUCUAACUUAGAAUACACGAAAAACUAUCUAUGAAACCUAGUCAGAAGGCGGAUUUAGAAGUAAAAAGAAAUAAGAAAGUUCUUUUUAAUAAGGCACUGGGGUGUGUACACACCGCCCGUCACCCUCUUCAAAGCUAAAAACUAGUAUUUAACCACUUAUAGCAAUUUAGAUGAGGCAAGUCGUAACAUGGUAAGUAUACCGGAAGGUGUGCUUGGAGA